AUUGAACGCUGGCGGCAGGCUUAACACAUGCAAGUCGAGCGGAGAUGAGGUGCUUGCACCUUAUCUUAGCGGCGGACGGGUGAGUAAUGCUUAGGAAUCUGCCUAUUAGUGGGGGACAACAUUCCGACAGGAAUGCUAAUACCGCAUACGUCCUACGGGAGAAAGCAGGGGAUCUUCGGACCUUGCGCUAAUAGAUGAGCCUAAGUCGGAUUAGCGAGUUGGUGGGGUAAAGGCCUACCAAGGCGACGAACUGUAGUGGGUCUGAGAGGAUGAUCCGCCACACUGGGACUGAGACACGGCCCAGACUCCUACGGGAGGCAGCAGUGGGGAAUAUUGGACAAUGGGGGGAACCCUGAUCCAGCCAUGCCGCGUGUGUGAAGAAGGCCUUAUGGUUGUAAAGCACUUUAAGCGAGGAGGAGGCUACUGAGACUAAUACUCUUGGAUAGUGGACGUUACUCGCAGAAUAAGCACCGGCUAACUCUGUGCCAGCAGCCGCCGUAACAC
rnacentral:rRNA from 1 species